rnacentral:tRNA from 1 species
ACGGCGGCCUGGCCGGCGGCCUGGGCCGGGCCGUUGGCGCCGGCCCCGGUGGGCAGCCAGUGGCCGGCGACCAGCGGGUCGGCGCCGUAGCGCUGUUCCA